AGAGUUUGAUCAUGGCUCAGGACGAACGCUGACGGUGUGCUUUAGGCAUGCAAGUCGAACGAGAAAGCCCUUCGGGGUGAGUAAAGUGGCGAACGGGUGAGUAACACGUGGGCAACCUGCCCCUCGCAGGGGGACAACCGGAGGAAACUCCGGCUAAUACCCCGUACGUUUCCAGGGUCGCAUGGCCUUGGGAGGAAAGGUAGCUUCGGCCAUCCGGCGAGGGAUGGGCCCGCGGUGCAUUAGCUAGUUGGUGGGGUAACGGCUCACCAAGGCGACGAUGCAUAGCUGGUCUGAGAGGAUGAUCAGCCACACUGGGACUGAGACACGGCCCAGACUCCUACGGGAGGCAGCAGCCAGGAAUCUUGGGCAAUGGGCGAAAGCCUGACCCAGCAACACCGUGUGGGCGAUGAAGGCCUUCGGGUCGUAAAGCCCUGUUGAUAGGGACGAAGGGCGAAGGGUUAAUAGCCCCUAGCCUGACGGUACCUUUCGAGGAAGCCCCGGCUAACUACGUGCCAGCCGCCGCGGUAAUAC
rnacentral:rRNA from 1 species